rnacentral:rRNA from 1 species
AUGCAAGUCGAGCGGAAACGACAUUAUUGAUUCUUCGGAGGAUUUAAUGGGCGUCGAGCGGCGGACGGGUGAGUAAUGCCUAGGAAAUUGCCUUGAUGUGGGGGAUAACCAUUGGAAACGAUGGCUAAUACCGCAUAAUGCCUACGGGCCAAAGAGGGGGACCUUCGGGCCUCUCGCGUCAAGAUAUGCCUAGGUGGGAUUAGCUAGUUGGUGAGGUAAUGGCUCACCAAGGCGACGAUCCCUAGCUGGUCUGAGAGGAUGAUCAGCCACACUGGAACUGAGACACGGUCCAGACUCCUACGGGAGGCAGCAGUGGGGAAUAUUGCACAAUGGGCGAAAGCCUGAUGCAGCCAUGCCGCGUGUAUGAAGAAGGCCUUCGGGUUGUAAAGUACUUUCAGUUGUGAGGAAGGGUGUGUAGUUAAUAGCUGCACAUCUUGACGUUAGCAACAGAAGAAGCACCGGCUAACUCCGUGCCAGCAGCCGCGGUAAUACGG